GUUUAGGGUCCCUGUCUUAGAGAGAUGGAGAGUGUCCUCAAAGGAUUGAAGAUCACAGACAUCCUCAACCCCAGAGGCUUCCACAUCCCAAACUGUGACAAUAAGGGCUUCUACAAAAAAAAACAGCUCUCUCUCUCUCUGUAACUCUCUCUCUCUCUGUAACUUUCUCUCUGUAACUCUCUCUCUGUAACUCUCUCUCUCUCUCUCUGUAACUCUCUAUCUCUGUAACUCUCUCUCUCUCUGUAACUUUCUCUCUGUAACUUUCUCUCUGUUACUCUCACUCUCUGUAACUCUCUCUCUAACUCUCUCUAUCUCUGUAACUCUCUCUCUGUAACUCUCUCUCUCUCUGUAACUCUCUCUCUAACUCUCUCUCUCUCUCUCUCUCUCUCUCUCUCUCUCUCUGUAACUCUCUCUCUCUGUAACUCUCUCUCUCUCUCUGUACAUUUCUCUCUGUAACUCUCUCUCUCUCUGUAACUCUCUCUCUCUAACUCUCUCUCUCUGUAACUCUCUAUCUCUGUAACUCUCUCUCUCUCUGUAACUUUCUCUCUGUAACUUUCUCUCUGUUACUCUCACUCUCUGUAACUAUCUCUCUCUGUAACUCUCUCUCUAACUCUCUCUAUCUCUGUAACUCUCUCUCUGUAACUCUCUCUAUCUCUGUAACUCUCUCUCUGUAACUCUCUCUCUGUAACUCUCUCUCUCUGUAACUCUCUCUGUAACUCUCUCUCUCUCUGUAACUCUCUCUCUCUCUAACUUUCUCUCUCUCUGUAAAUCUCUCUCUCUGUAACUCUCUCUCUCUCUCUGUAACUCUCUCUCUCUCUCUCUGUAACUUUAUCUCUGUAACUAUCUCUCUGUAACUCUCGCUCUCUGUAACUAUCUCUCUCUGAAACGCUCUCUCUCUCUGUAACUCUCUCUCUCUGUAACUCUCUCUGUAACUCUCUCUCUCUCUGUAACUCUCUCUCUCUCUCUCUCUGUAACUUUCUCUCUCUCUGUAAUUCUCUCUCUCUGUAACUCUCUCUCUCUCUCUGUAACUCUCUCUCUCUCUCUCUGUAACUUUAUCUCUGUAACUAUCUCUCUGUAACUCUCGCUCUCUGUAACUAUCUCUCUCUGAAACGCUCUCUCUCUCUGUAACUCUCUCUGUAACUCUCUCUCUCUGUAACUUUCUCUCUGUAACUCUCACUCUCUGUAACUAUCUCUCUCUGUAACUCUCUCUCUCUCUGUAACUCUCUCUCUCUCUGUAACUCUCUCUAUGUAACUCUCUCUCUCACUCUCUGUAACUAUCUCUCUCCGUAACUUUCUCUCUCUGUAACUAUCUCUCUCUCUCUCUGUAACUCUCUGUCUCUCUGUAACUCUCUCUCUCUGCUUAACUCUCUCUCUGUAACUCUCUCUCUAACUCUCUCUCUCUCUGUAACUCGCUCUCUGUAACUCUCUCUCUCUGUAACUAUCUCUCUCUGUAACUAUCUCUCUCUGUAACUCUCUCUCUCUCUCUGUAACUUUCUCUUUGUAACUAUCUUUCUAUAACUCUCUCUCUCUGUGACUCUCUCUCUCUGUAACUUUCUCUCUCUGUAACUAUCUCUCUCUUUAACUCUCUCUCUCUCUCUCUCUCUCUCUCUCUCUCUGUAACUCUCUCUCUGUAACUCUCUCUCUCUGUAACUCUCUCUCUCUGUAACUUUCUCUUUGUAACUAUCUUUCUAUAACUCUCUCUCUCUCUGUAACUCUCUCUCUCUCUCUGUAACUUUCUCUUUGUAACUAUAUUUCUAUAACUCUCUCUCUCUCUGUAACUUUCUCUUUGUAACUAUAUUUCUAUAACUCUCUCUCUCUGUAGCUCUCUCUCUCUGUAACUCUCUCUCUCUCUCUGUAACUUUCUCUCUGUAACUCUCUCUCUCUGUAACUUUCUCUCUGUAACUCUCGCUCUCUGGAGCUCUCUCUCUUUGUAACUCCCUCUCUCUGUAACUCUCUCUCCCUGUAACUCUCUCUCUCUCUCUCUGUAACUCUCUCUCUGUAAAUUUCUCUCUGUCACUUUCUCUCUCUGUAACUAUCUCUCUCUUUAACUCUCUCUCUCUCUCUGUAACUAUCUCUCUCUUUAACUCUCUCUCUCUCUCUGUAACUCUCUCUCUAACUCUCUCUCUCUCUCUGUAACUCUCUCUCUGUAAAUUUCUCUCUGUCACUUUCUCUCUCUGUAACUAUCUCUCUCUUUAACUCUCUCUCUCUCUCUGUAACUCUCUCUCUAACUCUCACUCUCUCUGUAACUCUCUCUCUGUAACUCUCUCUCUCUGUAACUCUCUCUCUCUGUAACUCUCUCUCUCUGUAACUCUCUCUCUCUGUAACUCUCUCUCUCUGUAACUUUCUCUUUGUAACUAUCUUUCUAUAACUCUCUCUCUCCCUGUAACUCUCUCUCUCUCUCUCUCUGUAACUCUCUCUCUGUAAAUUUCUCUCUGUCACUUUCUCUCUCUGUAACUAUCUCUCUCUGUAACUCUCUCUCUCUGUAGCUCUCUCUCUCUGUAGCUCUCUCUCUCUGUAACUCUCUCUCUCUGUAACUUUCUCUCUGUAACUCUCUCUCUCUGUCACUUUCUCUCUGUAACUCUCUCUCUCUCUGUUGCUCUCUCGCUGUAUCUCUCUCUCUCUCUCUCUCUCUGUAACUAUCUCUCUAACUAUCUAUCUCUCUGUAACUAUCUCUCUCUCUGUAACUCUCUCUCUGUAACUCUCCCUCUCCGUAACUAUCUCUCUCUGUAACUAUCUCUCUCUGUAACUCUCUCUCUCUCUCUGUAACUUUCUCUCUGUAACUUUCUCUCUGUAACUCUCGCUCUCUUUAACUAUCUCUCUGUAACUCUCGCUCUCUUUAACUAUCUCUCUCUGUAACUCUCUCUCUCUUUAACUAUCUCUCUCUGUAACUCUCUAUCUCUCUCUGUAACUCUCUCUCUGUAACUCUCUCUCUGUAACUCUCUCUCUUUCUCUGUAACUUUCUCUCUGUAACUUUCUCUCAAUGUUACUAGCGCUCUCUGUAACUCUCUCUCUGUAACUCCCUCUCUGUAGCUCUCUCUCUGUAACUUUCUCUCACUCUCUGUAACUUUCUCUCUCUGUAACUCUCUCUCUCUCUGUAACUAUCUCUGUAACUCUCUCUCUCUCUCUCUCUCUCUGUAACUCUCUCUCUCUCUCUCUGUAACUUUCUCUCUGUUACUUUCUCUCUGUAACUCUCACUCUCUGUAACUAUCUCUCUGUAACUCUCUCUCUCUCUAACUCUCUCUCUCUCUGUAACUCUCUCUCUGUAACUCUCUCUCCCUGUAACUUUCUCCCUGUAACUUUCUCUCUUUGUAACUAUCUCUCUCUGUUACUCUCUCUCUGUAACUCUCGCUCUCUGGAGCUCUCUCUCUUUGUAACUCCCUCUCUCUGUAACUCUCUCUCUCUGUAACUCUCUCUCUCUCUCUCUCUCUCUCUCUCUGUAACUCUCUCUCUGUAAAUUUCUCUCUGUCACUUUCUCUCUCUGUAACUAUCUCUCUCUGUAACUCUCUCUCUCUCUGUAGCUCUCUCUCUCUGUAACUCUUUCUCUCUCUCUCUGUAACUUUCUCUCUGUAACUCUCUCUAUCUGUAACUCUCCCUCUCUGUAACUAUUUCUCUCUGUAACUAUAUCUCUCUGUAUCUCUCUCUCUGUAACUUUCUCUCUGUAACUUUCUCUUUGUAACUUUCUCUCUCUGUAACUCUCUCUCUCUGUAACUCUCUCUCUCUCUGUAACUCUCUCUCUCUCUGUAACUAUCUCUGUAACCCUCUCUCUCGCUCUCUGUAACUCUCUCUCUGUAACUCUCUCUCUCUCUGAAACUCUCUCUUUGUAACUUUCUCUCUCUGUAACUCUCUUGCUGUAUCUCUCUCUCUGUGUAAUUCUCUCUAUAACUUUCUUUCUUGCUGUAACUCUCUCUCUGUAAUUCUCUCUCUCUCUCUCUCUGUAACUCUCUCUUGCUGUAACUCUAUCCCUCUCUCACUGUAACUCUCUGUCUCUCUGUAACUCUCUCCCUCUCUCUCUGUAACUCUCUGUAAUUCUCUCUCUGUAACUCUCUCGCUGUUACUCUCUCCCUCUCUCUGUAACUCUCUCUGUUUCUUUCUCUCCCUUUCUCUCUCUCCCUCACACACACAGUGCCGUCCAUCCAAGGGCAGAAAGCGAGGGUUUUGCUGGUGUGUCGACAAGUAUGGGCAGCCAUUGCCAAGUUUCAACGGGAAGGAGAGAGGAGACACCCAGUGCUACAACUCUGAGAGCCAAUAAGACCUGAGCAGCAAGAAG